CUCUGAUGUUUCUAACCUUUUAAAGAUUUCAGAGAAUUAAUGGGACACAUGAGAUUUUCACAGUCCUGGCCCUGCAGUCAUCCAAUUGGAGAAUGAGCCAAUCCUCUUUCGCAAGGGCAGUUAUCCCAGACAAGUUCAUGUUCCAAGAAGCCAGAUCAGUGUUUCCGGAGACCGUGGCAGAUACUUGGUGGCAUUGGGCACUCAACAAUGACUUUGUCAUUUUU
rnacentral:lncRNA from 1 species